AUUAGGAUCUGCUACAUUAAGCAAUUGGGCCCAUGCCCCAAAAACGGUACACUAUACCUCCUAAUA
rnacentral:tRNA from 1 species